UACAGAGGAGCCAAGCGUUGUCCGGAAUUAUUGGGCGUAAAGAGCUCGUAGGCGGUUUGUCGCGUCUGCUGUGAAAACUCGGGGCUUAACCCCGGGCCUGCAGUGGGUACGGGCAGACUAGAGUGCGGUAGGGGAGACUGGAAUUCCUGGUGUAGCGGUGAAAUGCGCAGAUAUCAGGAGGAACACCGGUGGCGAAGGCGGGUCUCUGGGCCGUAACUGACGCUGAGGAGCGAAAGCGUGGGGAGCGAACAGG
rnacentral:rRNA from 1 species